rnacentral:lncRNA from 1 species
GGGGGAGGGGCUGUGGGGGUGGGUGGGGAGGAAGGGGGGCACAAAGGGGGUGGGGGGGGGACAAAAUGGCAGCGGAGGGCCGUGGCCUGCUCGCGUUGCUAUGGAAACGGAGCCUGAGGCCUACAGCGUGGAAGUGAAGCCUGAGGCCUGCUCGCGUUGCCAUGGUAACGAAGCCUGAGGCCUGUGCCUGUUACCGUGGAAACGAAGCAAAGGGCCUUUUGGUAUCGCCGUGGAAACGAAGCCUGCGGCCUGCUCCUGUUGCCAUGGUAACGAAGCCUGCGGCCUGCUCCUGUUACCAUGGUAACGAAGCCUGCGGCCUGCUCCCGUUACCAUGGAAACGAAGCCUGCGGCGUCCUGCUGUCACCAUGGAAAUGUAGCCUAAGGCCUGCUCCAGCCCCCACAGCUACGCAGCCUGCUCCAAUCGCUACGGCAGCACAGCCCGCGGCCUGCACCUGUCGCCAUGGCAACACAGCCCGCGGCCUGCACCAGUCGCCAUGGCAACAAAGCCUGCGGCCUGCUCCAAGCCGCUCUAAGGACAGCGCUCGGAGCAGGCGUGCAAAGCGCCAAUAAAACCCAAAGCCCUUCGAGAGAAUUUGACGAUUCUUUUCCGGAAUAAAUCUUUUAUUAGUUUUCGA